CACGACACUAAAACGCCAUCGUGCUGUACUUUUUCCGAGUCAGAAAUGCUCCGUGAGGGUUCACCGGCACUGUAAGAGUUAACAGACAGCCGGGUGACAACACAAACAUCAGAGAAGGUUUGGUUGUCAUGGUGAUGGUUUCGUAAGGGGCGUGUGUUGUUAUGUGCUGACUGUGAUUGUGUUCAUCAUCGACGCUCGGAGGAGAAACGAAAGCGAUGAGACAGACUGAACACGAGCGUUUCUCUGGAACUCCUCUCAAGCGCUCCCUCGUCGAGCUGAUCAUGUGUUUGAUGAGGCCGAUCGCGAGAGUGUUCCCGUGGCUCUUCCGGUGGAUCUCGAGCGGGAACGUGAACGUGAUGAUCCGCGAUGACGAAGAGACGCCCGUGUUUUUUGACCUGGAGACCACCGGACUGGGUAAUAAUGCAAUACACUUCUUAUUAGAUUUAAAUAUAUUACACAGAUAUUGUGAUCUGUUAAGAUUUUUAUAAUGAACACAACCGUCUAUAGAAUGUAAUAUGCCCGUGAUACAUCUAUUAUUAAUUAUGUAGCAAUUAAUUAAUUGCUUUAUCAUUUAUAUUAUUAUUUAAUAUUUUAUAAAUAUAUAUUUUAUUGAACAAAUGAGAUGUGAAAGUGAAAACACGUUAUAUAUUAUAAUGUCAAUAUAUAUAUAUAUAUAUAACAAAACUUACAAUAUUUCAGUAUUUUAGUGUAAAAUUACAUUCAUUGUGUUUUUAAAUAUUUUUAUAAUUAGUUUUUUUUUAAUUAGUUUCUUGUUAAAAAUACUUUUUAACGGUUUUUUGCUGUAGAAUCACAUGCAGUGUGUUUCUAAAAAUGAUACUUUUCACUCAUAGGUCACACUUUACAAUAAUCAUGUACUAACGCCUAAAUUAAUACUUAAUUCAUCAUCAACCAGUGGUUAUUAAAGGUGUUAACUGAUCGUUAACUAGUGAAGAGGUGUCUUGAACUACGACUGGAGUCAUGGGUUCACGCAUGAGUAACACAGACUUAACUACAUGUGAGUACAUGUUUGAUAGUUAGUGGAUUAAUUAACAUUUAGGGGUAAACUAAAUUGAACAGCCCCUUUAAGAAGGAAGAAGAAAAAUCAUUGGAUAAUGGAGACUAUAAAUAAAAUUAUAUAUAGAUUUUUUAAAACGAUGCA
ensembl:lncRNA